rnacentral:lncRNA from 1 species
AAUGAGCUAGUUGCAAUAUCUUUUUUGCGUCUCACUGAAAAACGGAGAAGCAUAUCUUUAUCUAUUUUCGAUCCAACCCCGUUUUACCCCCGAUUUACCAAAUAUUGUUAGAUGACCGUCAGCUACAUUUUUUCCAACUGCGUCUCACUACUGCUGCUUUCCGCAAACGUUGUUGGUUCAUGCUCCAAUUAGGCUUCGUUUGGGAUUGCAGGGAUAUUGUGUUAUAUACGGUAAAAAAGUACGUUGGAUACGUAUUGCGUUUCGUAUAUCACGAUGAGUCGGUUAUGAUAUAUUUUCUGCAGUCCCACCGGAGAACGCAGAAGCAUAUCCCGAUAUGUUUUUUUCCUCAACUCCAAUUUAUCUAAUAGUGUUAGAUAGAUCUCAAUACCAAACUAAGCCUUAGAAGAUUCGGCCCAGCA